GGGGGAACUGAGGCUUCAGUGGAAGGAAGGCCCUGAAAGCUUCUUCCAGGCUGGGGAAGGAGCACUAAGGGGAGGAAGAUCACACUCCUCCAGCCACCGUGUUGAGACGCUGGGGCUGGGAGUCCCCUCUGCGUCCAGGUGUGUGGAUGUCAGUGGUCAGUCUCCUUUCAUUGGUGCCCACCUGCUUUCCUGCUUCUCAUGAAUGCCCACAAAGUGUUGGGAUGACCACCAGCGGCUGCAGUAUGAUACCCCAGCUUGGCAGCCCCACGAAGAGGGGGUCCCAGGGCAGGUCCCACACGCUCCCAAAAUUGCAGUGAAGCCACUCGGCCCCAGGGGCCUCCGGUGGGGACAGAGAUGAUUCUGCACAGGGACGUCAGACACUGCCGCCAGGCGGUCGUUCAGGUGGGAGGCGGCCCUGCAGGGGAGGGCUGGAUCUGCUGAAGCCGGGGCCAGAGGCCUGUGCUGCCCCCAACCUGGGAACCUCCAGACCACACUGAUGCGACCGCUGCCUCCCAGUUCCCAGGAACAGAUACUGAGCUCUGAGCAAUGGGCACAAUUUCAGACCCAGCGUCCUGGCGGUGCCAUAAAACUGCAGCAGCGAAGCUCACUGGAGUCAUUUUCUCCUGUGCUGCUGACACGGAGAGGAAAAAUCCCCAAAUAAAGCUCUUCCCACAGCCACAGCCACGAAAACAUUGUCCCCUGCAACUGUGCUCGCUACUCAAACAUGAUUUCUCCUCCUCAGGGGGAAAAACCUCCCAGCAAUUCUCAUUGCAAGAUGGUAAACCUGUCGCCCUAAUGAACAGCUUUCAUUUAGAACCCAGCGAGAAGGGGCGCACCGGGAGACGGCAGCUUUGUUGACUGCGAUGUUUCCAAAUCACUUGCUCAACCUGCAGCGUUCCCAUGGAGCUUGGAGCGCCCAGCAUAGGGCUUUAUUGUUGUUUUGAGGCAAGAAAGAAGUUUUCAGAAGCCAUACUUUGUGCUGAUUCAUGUUUCACCCUUGUGCCUACAAAGUCUCCCUCAAAUGGGUAUCCUGGUCCUCUUGCAUGCCUCUGAUGAUGGGAUGCUCACUACUUCCCAGUGCAGCCCCC
rnacentral:lncRNA from 1 species